rnacentral:rRNA from 1 species
AUGGCGGCCCCAGCGACGGCGGCUCCGCGGGAUAAGGGGGCGCCGCCUCCUGGAGAUGGCCCCAUCGGGGGCGUCUUCAGCGGCCAGGAGUGGAAGGCUUUUCGGGAGAGAUCGAGGAGAUUAAUCAAGAUGGCGAAAAAUCGGGAAAGUUGCCUCGAGCAUUCAAGGAGAAGAGUGAAGGAUUUGUGCCGUAAAUUGGCAGGUGAGAUUUCCUCUGAUUCGCAUGAGGAAGGUCCGGUUGGGCCUAAUUUAGCUAUGGAAAUUGCUGAUCCGGUGAUGCGUGAUUUGGGGGGAAAAUUAGAGGUGGUCUUUAAUCCUGAUUACUUGGUAGCUUCUGUCUCUAGUUUGGAAAGAAAGGAGAGGAAUCACUGGGGAUCAUCCAGGGGAGUAGAGAAUUUUUUGGCAGGUGGGAUCCCGCCGACACCUUGUGAGGAUAAUAUGAUAGAUUUCAGAGGCUCCAUGAGUGUUUCGGAGGAGGAGGGGGGCGAGAUUUCCGCCCGAGAUUCACGGUCAAUUCAUAAAGUUUUGCUAGUUAAUUUAUCCAUUACAGAUUUUAGUACGAGUUUUCAGCGGGAUUUGAUUGUGAUCUCGUUCUUGGAUCCAAUUCUGCCCGUUUAUGAAUCUUUUGAGGAAAGGGAGUUUUUCUCGCUGGAGUUAUUAGGAAACUGCUCAUUCAUGGCCUUUUACUCGUGA